ACCCAAAUAGCUCAGUUGGGAGAGCGUUAGACUAUAGAUCGAAAGGUCCCUGGUUCGAUCCCGGGAUUCGGCA
rnacentral:tRNA from 1 species